GACGAACGCUGGCGGCGUGCUUAACACAUGCAAGUCGAACGGAAAGGCCCCUUUGGGGGUACUCGAGUGGCGAACGGGUGAGUAACACGUGAGUAACCUGCCCUUGACUUCGGGAUAACUUCAGGAAACUGGGGCUAAUACCGGAUAGGAAUCCUUGCUGCAUGGUGGGGGUUGGAAAGCUUCGGCGGUUUUGGAUGGACUCGCGGCUUAUCAGCUUGUUGGUGGGGUAGUGGCUUACCAAGGCUUUGACGGGUAGCCGGCCUGAGAGGGCGACCGGCCACAUUGGGACUGAGAGACGGCCCAGACUCCUACGGGAGGAAGCAGUGGGGAAUAUUGCACAAUGGGCGGAAGCCUGAUGCAGCAACGCCGCGUGCGGGAUGACGGCCUUCGGGUUGUAAACCGCUUUCAGCAGGGGCGAAGCUUGUGGUGACGGUACCUGCAGAAGAAGCACCGGCUAACUACGUG
rnacentral:rRNA from 1 species